rfam:TPA: Bos taurus chromosome 1, whole genome shotgun sequence.
UCCCUGGUGGUCCAGUGGCUAAGACUCUGUGCUCCCAAUGCAGGGGACCCCGGGUUCGAUCCCUGGUCAGGGAA